GNGAGUGGGGAUGAGUCAAUCAUCAUGCCCCUUAUGACCUGGGCUACACACGUGCUACAAUGGNUGGUACAACGAGUCGCAAGCCGGUGACGGCAAGCUAAUCUCUUAAAGCCAGUCUCAGUUCGGAUUGUAGGCUGCAACUCGCCUACAUGAAGUCGGAAUCGCUAGUAAUCGCGGAUCAGCACGCCGCGGUGAAUACGUUCCCGGGCCUUGUACACACCGCCCGUCACACCACGAGAGUUUGUAACACCCGAAGUCGGUGAGGUAACCUUUUAGNANCCAGCCGCCUAAGGNGGNAUAAAUNAUUGGGGUGAANNCNUACGGGGUNAACCNAAA
rnacentral:rRNA from 1 species